CCGUUUUUAACUUAGUCCAAGCGCUGAGAUAUCUGGGGCUGCUAUCCUACGUUGUAUGUUAUUGUCAGACAUGUCAGGCACACACACAAGAUGGAAGAUCGAUCCCUCAUCCCUAUCUAUUUUCUCUGAUUUGUUCACACAACAACUCGCUUCUAGACUCGUAAUCGAUGGAAUCACACCUCCUUCGUGGCUUUUGAGCCCUAAUUCCAACUCUCACUCUUCAUAUCUCAAUGAUUGUGACUUUGCUUGUGGAAUUGCAAUUGAUUAUUGAUACCGUGAUUGCAAGUUAAGAUUGGGUUGUGUUUGGAAGGCAGAGAACAUGUUCAGACUUUCAGAGAAGAGAAGAGAAUAGUGAAAAGUGGCUAUUGCACAGAAAAGGUGGUGUUAGCAUAAUAUUCAAUGAAUGGAUUCCCUUUUAAGAAAUUGGAGCUCAAAGUGUGAUAUUGGAACUUCACAUGACGUGGAUCAUAACCAAAUUUCAGCAGCCUUUCUAUUAGAGAUCAAAUCAUUGAUCAAAGAAAAAACCCUCGUCUCGUUCUCUCUCGAAGAUCAAAAACGACAACCUAUUGUUUUUCUUCCGGCGAAUCAUUCAACAUCAUCAUCUUUCACGCAGAUUACAUCUUAACUCUACAUAUCAAGAAAGAUGUGGUGGUAAAGUACCUGAAGCGUGUGGGACAUCCUCGUUUCUAUGAGAUUGAAGUUGUCUAGCAUGUACAUUUGGAUAUUAGUUGGGCGACUGUAGGAAAUUAUGUUGAUUGCGGUGUAUAUGUGAUGCGCUACAUGGAAACCUGGAUGGGAUCGUUGAAGGGCGCCGGGACGCUCGAUUCCCAACUGAUGAGUCCAAAACGAAAACCGAAAUAACACAACUUAGGAAGAAGUUUGUGAACUAUUUGGUUUGUUGUUUACACUUACGAUUUGCCUUUCUAAUUGUUUUGGUGGAAAUCGUUUAUGGUAGGUUUGGGAUGCUUUAUUCGGAUAUUUAAUGUAGUAUGAUUACGACCAUUAUUUUGGUGGUUAAAUUUAUAGAUUGUGUUAUUUUCA